rnacentral:rRNA from 1 species
GACGAACGCUGGCGGCGUGCUUAACACAUGCAAGUCGAACGAGUGGCGAACGGGUGAGUAAUACGUGAGUAACCUGCCCUCUUUUUGGGAUAAGCCUUGGAAACGGGUUCUAAUACCGGAUAAAGGGGGAUGGGCUCGCGGCCUGUCGGCGUGUUGGUGGGUUGAUGGCCUACCAAGGCGGUGCCGGCUAGCCGGCCUGAGAGGGUGAACGGGGACAGUGGGACGGAGAUACGGCCUAGAGGCCGACGGGAGGCAGCAGUGUGGGAUAUGGACCAAUGGGUGAAAGACUGAUGCAGCGACGCCGCGUGGGGGAUGAAGGUUGUCGGGUUGUAAACUUCUGUCGCUAUAGAACCGGUAGGUGGAGAAGAAGCGCCGGCUAACUACGUGCCAGCAGCCGCGGUAAUAC